rnacentral:rRNA from 1 species
UACGGAGGAUGCGAGCGUUAUCCGGAUUUAUUGGGUUUAAAGGGUCCGCAGGCGGACAGGUAAGUCAGUAGUGAAAAACCUGGGCUUAACCCCGGUCGUGCUACAGAAACUGCCUGACUAGAGAAAGUUUGGCGUUGGCGGAAUUCCGCGUGUAGCAGUGAAAUGCGUAGAGAUGCGGAGGAACACCAAUGGCGAAGGCAGCCCCCUGGGUUAACACUGACACUCAUGCACGAAAGCGUGGGGAGCAAACAGG